AUGCUCGACGACAUUGGAAUGACGAAGAUUGGAUCAAUGCGAAAUUAGCUCAAAUUCAGAAUACGGAUACAGAAGAUGACGUUUUAUUUCGUGAGUGAGCCAUCCAUCAAUUUGUGUCAACAAGAACAGUCCCAAAGCAUCCAAGAAAGUACCAGUGUUUCUAUUACUGACUUGAUUAUAUAAAUCAUGCUAUUUAUUUAAUAAUUUCAAGUAAUACUAACUACAUUUAUAGCAAUUAAAUUAUAUGUCCGAGCUUAUAUUUUCAUUGUUAUGUAUAUAUAACUGGUGGGUAUUACCUGUUAGCCUGCCCCAGAGUCACCGAUGCCAAGCCCUGUUCCCAAAGUAUAACAGAAACUCUGCUUUGAAGCCUUAUGAUGAAAUGGGAUUCUUACUGUCAAGACCUGAUGAAGCAUUACAAGGAUCCCACAGAGAGCUUAAGUAUUUUAUGGACAUAAAUAUAAUAAUGGAAGUGCCUAGCCCUGUUGCAGUGCACUGCUCUACAAAAAUAAAACAAAUCAUAGAAACUAAAUAUGGUGUUUUAAUCUUCUACCAGUAUAAAAAAGUUACACAUCUUGUAAUACCCUAAAUUCAAUACUAUCACUAGCCUUUGUUAGGACUAAGUUUCUAAGUUCGAUAUUUCAUAAUCCUUCUUUUUAGGGUUCCAUACCCAUAGGGUCAAAACGGGACCCUAUUACUAAGACUUGACUGUCCGUCUGUCACCAGGCUGUCUCAUGAACUGUGAUAGCUACAGUUGAAAUUUAGACAGAUGAUGUAUUUCUGUUGCCGUUAUAACAACAAAUUUAAUACUAAAAACAGAAUAAGAUGGUAUGGCACCAUAUAUCUGUCCUAAAGUUUAUCUUGCUAGUUUAGCAUAGAAAAUAUAAUCCGUGCACAAUCAGAAUGGGACCAAAUCUAGCCGAUGACCUUAUUUAGACAAGGUUUCAUAAUUUUGAAUUUUUUUCCAGUCACCAUGACUACGUUCCAUCCCAUUCUAAAUAACGCGCGAAUUACAAUGGGACACACAAAGAACAGUUUAGAUAAAGGUAGUUUAUUUUUCAAUAUAACAACAGUUUUUUUAUUUAUAUAUAUGCUCCCGACCGUUUUCGGCCACGGCGACUGCUUCAACUCCUUUUUUGGCGUUCAUGUGCUCUCGUGUGGCUGACGUAGCCGAUCUUGUUGCCAAAGACCCGUGCGCACAACGGGCACGAGAGGACACCAUCAAUAUAAUUAUAGCUGAUCACCGCUGGUGGUCGGGCUUUCAGCUCAUCCCUCUUGUCGUCCAGAUCUACACCGACACCUACAGCGACGCAGCAUUCCAUGUCAUCAUGCAAGAGUCUCACGAGGCGUAUGAAUUUAUCUGUGCAUCCUAACUUUGCCAACAUCAUCCACAGGGCUUCACGGGGAACACUGUCAAAUGCCUUUUAUUUACAUUUACUACAAAGAAACAUCUAUACAUUUUAGAUUUUUCCUUGUUCUUCGCAGUACAAUCUCGGGCAAUAUACAAUUUUUAUAAAAGUUUACCAGUUUUGGCAACAUCUUUUCUAUAAAAGUUUCAUCGCGCUCUACUUCCAAAACUGUAAUGCCAUAACUUGGGGAAAUGUAACAAAUGAAGUGACAUUUCAUCAUUUGUGUCACCCGCAGUUGGUCCUGGAUCUGCAAUCAGAAUACCCAUUAUCAAAACUGUCUCUCAUGAAUACUGUAAUAAAAAUUACAUUAUUUUAUCUUAUGUAGGUAGUUCUAACCUGAAAGUAGUAAUUGUGUUUUUUAUUUAUUAGUAAAUUUCCAGUGUCACCCACCCAUAUAGGAAAAUUUUGACGUUCUUAAAGAGGGGCCAUUUUUGGGACUUAUAAAAUUUCAGUGUGAUAUUUUUAGCCCAACCUGAUACCAACUUUAUAUUACUUUAUCAUGUAGGAAAUGUUACAUUUAGUAUCUUUUGUCAUUUGGCAUUUUUCUAGAGAAAAUUUAUAGAGAAAAUGUAAGUGACAAAGGCAAGAUAGGUGAGACAACAAGCAACCUCACCAUCACAACCUCAUCUAUCUCCAGAACUACUGGUCUUAGGGAGAUAUUUCACAUGACAAAACAUACUUAAUUGAACAUUUCCUACAUAACGUAGGUAAUAAAAAGUUACUGUUAAGUUGGGAAAAAAAUAUCACACUGCAAUUUUCUAAGUCCCAGAUACGGUCCCUCUUGAACGAUUGAAUAACAAACAUGUAAACAUUUAUAAUAUAGUGGGAUAGUGAAAAAGAUAUAGUAAAGUCAGCCUCCAUUGAACUUACCUUUUGAUUUGUCCGUGAUAUCGUUUCAUUUGCCCAUGGCUGCGUUUCCGACUCUUUCUCGGGCCUGAGUAUUGAUGGUUUUUAUAAUCUUUUCGGGAUGUUUGUGGCAUUCUCUCGAUAAAGUUCACUAUUAGAAUCAAACUAGCGAAACAAGAAACAACAAGACUGCCGCCAAACUGCCAAGAACGUAGUGAUUAUAUGCUCUUUGCCAAACUGCCGGUGCCGCGUGCCGGUCAAUCAAAAUGACAGUGACGUUUGGUGAAAUGAAAAAUGAAAUUUAUCAAUUUACACAAACGCCUCGUUGCGCGCUUGAGCCCGUGCGGAGUGAAGAGCGGCAUCGUCGCAUUUUCGGCCAGCUCGCAACGUAGCCUUUCAACGCACACACUGAACAUACGCUUAGUGUACGACGCUGUCACCGUUCACUCACACAUUGACAAAUUUUAACUAAAAUAUCGUUCUCAGUUAAGCUAUUAUUCAAAUGUUUUUAUUACAAAAACAUAAUUUCCCGCAAACAAAUAUCAAAUUGAAUAUUAAUGGAAGUGGUUUCAUUGUAAAACCAUGCUCCAUUCGCCCAUAAUUGGAUAAAUACAUUAGUAUGAAAAACGAACCACCUUAAAAAUGCUAAUGCGUCAUUAUAAAUAAAUGUAUUUGAACAGAUGUGGAUAAAAAUGCCGCAAUUUAUUUACGACAUUUAUGAGGUGUGCAUUUGUAAAACUGUUCACCGUGUGAAAUGGAUUUAUUUCCGUACAAAAGUACUAAAAAGUUGUUCAAGUUAUAUUGUACAUAAUAAAGUUAGAAAUAAAUUCUAUGAUUAAUGAUCA